UAACACGUGGGUAACCUGCCCAAGAGAUCGGGAUAACACCUGGAAACAGAUGCUAAUACCGGAUAACAACAGAUGAUGCCUAUCAACUGUUUAAAAGAUGGUUCUGCUAUCACUUAUAGAUGGACCCGCGCCGUAUUAGCUAGUUGGUGAGGUAACGGCUCACCAAGGCAACGAUACGUAGCCGACCUGAGAGGGUGAUCGGCCACACUGGAACUGAGACACGGUCCAGACUCCUACGGGAGGCAGCAGCA
rnacentral:rRNA from 1 species